UGAACAGUUAAUAAACAAAACCAUCAGUAGCAGUAGGUUAAUUCAUAACGGCACAGGUCAAGCUGCAGGUUUGAGGCAAUGCUGCAGGAUUGGGGCCAUGCUGCAUGUUUAGGGUCAUGCUGCAGAAUUGGGGUCAUGCUACACAUUUUGGGCAAUGUCACACAUUUGGGGCCAUGUCACACGUUUAGGGCCAUGCUACAGGUUUGAGGUCAUGCUACACGUUUGGGGCCAUGUCACACAGUCACACAUUUGGGGCCAAGUCACACGUUUAGGGCCAUGCUACACGUUUGGGGUCAUGCUGCAGGUUUGGGGUCAUGCUGCAGGUUUGGGUCAUGCUGCAGGAUUGGGGCCAUGCUACAGGUUUUGGGUCAUGUUACACAUUUGGGGCCAUGUCACACAUUUUGGGCCAAGUCACAAGUUUAGGGCCAUGCUACAGGUUUGGGGCCAUGGUACAGGUUUGGGGCCAUGCUAUAGGUUUGGGGUCAUGCUACAGGUUUGGGUCAUGCUGCAAGAUUGGGGCCAUGCUACAGGUUUGGGGCCAUGCUACAGGUUUGGGGCCAUGCUAUAGGUUUGGGGCCAUGCUAUAGGUUUGGGUCAUGCUACAGGUUUGGGUCAUGCUACAGGUUUGGGUCAUGCUACAGGUUUGGGUCAUGCUGCAGGAUUGGGGCCAUGCUACAGGUUUUGGGUCAUGUUACACAUUUGGGGCCAUGUCACAGGGGCCAUGGUACAGGUUUGAGGCCAUGCUAUAGGUUUGGGGUUCAUGCUACAGGUUUAGGGCCAUGCUGCAGUUUUGGGGUCAUGCUACAGGUUUGGGUCAUGCUGCAGGUUUGGGGCCAUGCCGCAGGUUUGGGGCCAUGGUACAGGUUUGGGGCCAUGCUAUAGGUUUGGAGUUCAUGCUACAGGUUUAGGGCCAUGCUACAGUUUUGGAGUCAUGCUACAGGUUUGGGUCAUGCUGCAGGUUUGGGGUUUAGCAAACAGUCGUCUUCUUAGCACAGACAUCAUAAAUCAUAAAUCUGCCCUCGCUUCUUUGCCAAAAAAUCACACCUCUGAAGAACUCUCUUUGUACCCAUUUUACUGGAUUCCUACUAAGACUUAGAAAUCAGCCGAUUGCACUUUAUACCCAAAUGAUUUUUGAUGAAUAUACUGUAAAUUUCUGUUAAUAUGAAAACAAUUCUAAAGAGAGGUUAGCUGUAACACUUUUAUUACUAAUGAAAGUCUAAACGUGUAAAUAUAUUCAGAGUGUGAUGGAUAGAAGGAGGCAGAGAGAGUGAAGGAUCAUAAAUGAUUUCAAACAUUGGAUGUUACUGAAACACAGAGUGUUUUAUAUGCAGUAGUUUAAACAGCCCUCUCAGUUCUUCAUGCUCAGUCUGUGUGAUCAGUGUCAGUGCUGCAGCCUGCAGAAGCUACAUGUUGUACAAAAUAUCCUAUUAUCACCACGUCCUGCUCAGUAUUACUGCUCAGUGUUACCUGACUGUGGAGAGAAGAGGAUAAAGAUAUUUUGUACAUUAACAGCUCAAGGUUGACCUUUUUCUUUAAUAAAGAGAAAACAUACUAACAUGA